UGAGCUGAAGCUGCAGCUUGGGACCCGAUCGAUCGUGAGGAAAGACGCGGCCACACUGUCCCGAGGAAAUGCGGACCGAGGUUUGCAAGCCACUUGUCAGAACAAAGCACUUAGGAAAUUUUACUGAUAUCGUGGCCCCCUUUACUACUUGGACUCCCUUGCCUUUCGAUCUCAGAAUCACCACUAGCUCCCUUCUGAUUAAGCAAGAAUUGAUUAAGCGGGGCUUUUAGUUGGACACUGAAAGCUGAGAUGCAGAUAGUGAUUCUGGAAGAGGGGUAGUAAUGCGCCCAAACGUGCCCAUCCUGGAACCCUUGGUCUACACAGGACCCACUAGGCACACCUACAGCGUACCAAGCUCGGUAGCUCACCUCAGGGCAGCCCCUCACAACCUAGUACACAUCAGGAUUACCUGAGGAGUUCCUGAAGCUGCAGACUGAGUGAAGGGAUACAGGAAUAGCAGUCUGGCCAAGCUCUCCAGAUGACUUUAACACAAGUGGUCCACUGACCCCACAAUAAGAAACAUGCUCUUGAAAAAAGUUUCAAACUCCAGGCAUAUAAUCUGCGAUCCGGCCAAAGAGCAGCCGUCCGACUCCUGAAGUGAUGCCAAUGCACAUGAGAACCACCUCUUUAUUUUUUCCAUCUUGAAAUCUUUCAUUCACAUAUUUCAUCUGUGGACCAUCAAGAAAGAAGCAACACUAAAUACGGAGGACCUGAACCAAACUGACACCCCUGAAACAGCUGGAGUGGAGCUUCCAGGAUAAAGCAGAAAGGAGUGACAGUGCCAGACACAGGGAGACAUCAGACAGUGUUUUUCCAUGGAGAACCCAGCCCAAGUCCUCUGGCUUUUAGUCAACCAUGAAGAAAAUUAAAUGGGUGACCACAGAAUAAAAACAGCUCCUAUAAAACUGAUAACUGAGCAGGCAAAAAUCAACAACAGUUAUCAUCCACGGCUGUUGCAGUUACUGUGCCCUCUGAGAGAUAAACAGAUUCCCGUAAUGCAGUCAUCAACUGUCCUUGCCUGUGAAGAUUUUGAUUUCCUGAUCUCCUGCCCUUCCUCUUCAGAUACACAUCGUCAAGCUGGACACCAGGUACAUAAAUAUCUUAUUUAAAAGUCACACUCUUCAGAGGAGCCAGGCUCAAGCCCUGGCCAUACCAGCUACCAGCCUUGCAUGAUUGCCUAUCUCACAGUGUGGCCCUGAGACUCCAGUGAAAGAUAACGUUUGUGGGAACUUCUUGUAUGUCAAACGUCAAUAAAAAUGUGGGAAAUCAGUAAA